rnacentral:rRNA from 1 species
UACGUAGGGUGCGAGCGUUGUCCGGAAUUAUUGGGCGUAAAGGGCUCGUAGGCGGUUUGUCACGUCGGGAGUGAAAACUCAGGGCUUAACCCUGAGCCUGCUUCCGAUACGGGCAGACUAGAGGUAUGCAGGGGAGAAUGGAAUUCCUGGUGUAGCGGUGAAAUGCGCAGAUAUCAGGAGGAACACCGGUGGCGAAGGCGGUUCUCUGGGCAUUACCUGACGCUGAGGAGCGAAAGUGUGGGGAGCAAACAGG